rnacentral:rRNA from 1 species
GAUGAACGCUGGCGGCGUGCCUAAUACAUGCAAGUCGAGCGAAUGGAUUAAGAGCUUGCUCUUAUGAAGUUAGCGGCGGACGGGUGAGUAACACGUGGGUAACCUGCCCAUAAGACUGGGAUAACUCCGGGAAACCGGGGCUAAUACCGGAUAACAUUUUGAACCGCAUGGUUCGAAAUUGAAAGGCGGCUUCGGCUGUCACUUAUGGAUGGACCCGCGUCGCAUUAGCUAGUUGGUGAGGUAACGGCUCACCAAGGCAACGAUGCGUAGCCGACCUGAGAGGGUGAUCGGCCACACUGGGACUGAGACACGGCCCAGACUCCAACGGGAGGCAGCAGUAGGGAAUCUUCCGCAAUGGACGAAAGUCUGACGGAGCAACGCCGCGUGAGUGAUGAAGGCUUUCGGGUCGUAAAACUCCGUUGUUAGGGAAGAACAAGUGCUAGUUGAAUAAGCUGGCACCUUGACGGUACCUAACCAGAAAGCCACGGCUAACUACGUGCCAGCAGCCGCCGUAA